GCGGUUAUAGCUCAGUGGUAGAGUGCAUGCUUAGCAUGCAUGAGGUCCUGGGUUCAAUCCCCAGUACCUCCA
rnacentral:tRNA from 1 species